rnacentral:lncRNA from 1 species
CUUUGAUUUCAUUUUCUGUGAUUUUUUUCAUAAUUUUACGUAUCUCAUCUUGGAUACUUGAAAUAUCUGAAUUGUGUCCCUUUAUCUUCACUUUCCCUUUGCUCUGAUCUGCCUUAAUCAGGACAUCAAAAUCACGCUCCAGUUUACGUAGUGUCUCAAGAUCUUGAGUGGUGAAUUUCUUGAUGACGUCAUCGAUUAUGGUGUUUUCCUGAAUAUUUUGACUCAUAUUCCUCUUCAACUCUCCCCAGGCUUUCUUAAUCUUCCCGCGGUCAUCGGAAUAAAUCUUCACUGAUACACCCUUGUCUCCUGCUGUCCUCUUUACGGAUUUCCUUGAACGAAACCUGCUAAAAAGCGUUUUAGGAAAAUGCGAUGAUUUUGCUGCCUGCGGGCUCGGACUAGUGGCACCCCCGGAGGAGAAAUAAGCUGUGCUUGCAUCUUUGAAUUUGACAAACUUUGCCUUUUCAAAAAUCACAAUGCGGACUAGAUUUAAAGUCGGAUUCUUGGACUCCGCAAUCCUGGACAAAUUAUCAAAUAUCAAUUCGGCCGAUUGACUUUCAGAGAAACCCAUCGCACCAGCCCCUAUAGCCGAAAAAGAAACCUUGCCGAUAUUUUUCCUCGAAACAUCGUCGAAAAAUGUGUGAAGACACCUUUUUAAGUCGGGAAAGGUAGGCUGGUCUGGACCGAUAACGUGCGCGAUUUCAUUAACAGAUAAUUUUCCCGCGUUGGUGUACUGGGUCGAAAAGAGAGCAGGUUGUCCGAGAGCCUUGCAUUCCUGAACGAUGCUAUCGCCCCCAGCUUUUAUCAACGCUUUUCCCACACCACCCUGAAAAGAGAAAUCUUGAUUGGUCACGUGCAUGAUAAGAUCGGUCGUUUCUUUGCUGAUAUCAUUGCAUACGAUUUGAACUGUGAGGUUUCCGCUCCCAAGCGACAGUUCCAAAGAUCCGUCAGACUUUCCAGUUCUAGUCACAUUACUUAAGCUGCUUGAACUUGCUCUUUCUUUCUUUGUGGGCAUUAGUACCGGCACGGUCUUGCUGGAAAGCGAUGAAACCAUUGACUUGAAUUCCUGUAUCGCACCUAUUAGAAAAAAUGUGAAACAACAUCUUUGAACAUCAGCAUUUACUAAGUAAUAGUUUUUAUUAACUU